UACGUAGGGACCAAGCGUUGUUCGGAUUUACUGGGCGUAAAGGGCGCGUAGGCGGCCUGAUAAGUAGGGGGUGAAAUCCUGCGGCUUAACCGCAGGGCUGCCUUCUAAACUGUCAGGCUCGAGCACAGUAGAGGCAGGUGGAAUUCCCGGUGUAGCGGUGGAAUGCGUAGAGAUCGGGAAGAACAUCAGUGGCGAAGGCGGCCUGCUGGGCUGUUGCUGACGCUGAGGCGCGACAGCGUGGGGAGCAAACAGG
rnacentral:rRNA from 1 species